GAUCAUUGAAGUCUAUCUUCCCCUAAAGAUCAACAAGCAUAUGGUCAAUCAGAAAAUAUAGAACAAGAAAGCAAAAGGUAAGUUUGGAUGACUUAAAGGACAAACUAGGCUCAAAUUAAGUUGGAUGACUCAAGGGACAGAGUAAAUGCUUCUAUAACUGAUCUUAUUUUCUGAUCACAUAGGAAAACCUCGUAAUGAUACCAGAAAGAUAAUCUAAUAUCUCUCCUGGUCACAUCUUUGCAUUAAUAUGACUGCUAUUCAAUACUUUCUAAUGAGAUUGUUUAUUUAUUUCUUAUCAGCAUUGCGGCUAUUGAUUCAAUUAUUUUUUAAUGAGAUUGUUUAUUGACUUCUUUAGUCUCAAAAAAGUUCCUCAGCGAUGCAUUUAUAAAAAGAAUGUUAAUAUGCUGAGAGUCGGAAUUUUUGCACAAAUAGCAUCUACAUUCUUGGCCAUACUAGACUAGAUAAAAUACGUAAUGAGAGUAUUAGAGAGAAGGUAGGAGUGGU
rnacentral:misc_RNA from 1 species